rnacentral:lncRNA from 1 species
GUCUCAUCUGUUUAUGUUACAUUUUCAUUCCAUUGUAUAUGAGCAUAGUUGAAAGUUUUGAUGAUAAGGGAGAUAAUUCAAUAUAUUUUUCAAGAUAACAAACAGGUGUUUCCCCCUUCAAUUCAAGUUACUUUUACCAGGCUAUACCUCUGUGACUUUAAUAAAAAAAUAAAGAAGCAAUCAAUUCAUUCCUUGCUUUAAAUCACUAUUAGACUACAAAAUUAUUUUUUAUUUUUUAUUUAACUUUGAGUAAGAUAAUCUUCAAGUCUAUGUUGAUACAUUUUUUUUCUGUUGUGUUUUUUUUUAUUAACUUUUAAAUAUUAUACGGUUCAUAAUUUAUGCCAAUACUGUGAAACCAAUCUGAUGUGUUUUGUACAUUAUCACCAGUGUCAUUUUAUUGUAUGUGUGUUGUGUGUAUGUGAUUACAAUAUGUACUUUAUUACUGUUUUACAAUUAACUUAUUUGCUCUCCGGUUUAUGUUCUAUCUGUUAUAUAUACAUAACCUAUGGGAAUAGAUAAUAAUAUUACUAUACUAUCUAUGAAUGUAAGGGGUUUAUUUUCUAAUAAAAAGAAAAGAUUGGAUGUCUUUGAUUGGGCAAAGGGCAAACAUGCUUCAAUUAUAUGUUUUCAAGAAACACAUAGCAGUAAAGAUGUUGAAAAAAUAUGGGAAGAAGAAUGGGGCAAUACUUGCAUUUUUUGUCAUCAUAACAAUAGAAGCGCUGGAGUUAGUAUCAUGUUUAAUCAAAGCGCGAAAGCGCUGUAAAGGCAGUUAAUUACAGGUUGUGUGUAUUUCUAGUCCAGUUAUAUCAUUAUCUUCCAUAGAACAGAGGUGGUUUGUAGUAUUUAAGAUUUAGAGUUCUCUUGUACCUAGUUCACCUAUAUCUAUAGUCUACUGUUUACAGUAUAUUUUCUGUACCUCGCCAUGAAAUGCAUUUUUAAGACAUAAGAAC